UCCUCUUGGCGGGGGAGCUUCUGAGGGUCAAAUGAGGGGACAGCACAGAAAACACAUGGCAGCUGCACAGUGAAUAUCAGCUCUCCCUGAGACAGCAGGGUCAGGGUCGUGCCUGACAUGGUUGUUGCCAGCAGACACGGCAGGUGGCGAGGUCUAGCCGGGAUCCCUGGUGUGACGAAGUGAUGGUGGAAGCACAUUCUCCUUCCCUGGACGCCAGCGCUCUCCCCUCCACCUGGGCCUGAUUCUGCAGAACACCAGAGCUGCUUUAGCUAUCCUUAAACUUGAUCCAUUAGCCCACUGCCCAGAUUCUAGAAGGAACACCUGGAUAGAGAGCUCAGGAGGUGUCCCAGGAUUCGGGAAGCCUGGGACUGGUGAGCCGAGAGAUUAUGGAAAACCAUCCUGGCCUUUUACCUCCCCCUUCGGAGGGACCAGGCACUGCCGGUAACGGAGGUGUCACCAUCUCCACAUCCUUCCUUGAUGGGCGUGGAGGGCCCUGAGAUCACCCUCCCCACCUUUACCAACGGAAAAAUUGAGACUCAAGCAGGGAUGGACGCUGGGCCUCGGGCCAAGGCCAUCCAAUCGUGUUAUACACAGUACUAGAGUCCUCGUCCCCUCACCCCCACCCGGUCGGCUACAGGGACCACCGCCGUCGUUCUAUGGGAAAGGGCGACCCCUGGUGGUGAGGAGAAGCGUGGCUGCCUGUCCGCAGGACGCGCCGACAGGAAGGGGCGUGGCCUGCAGGACCACCGACAAAGGUUUACCACCCGCUGUUGAUGUAAGGACCUCGCUUUGAAAAUCGGCAGAAAUUUGUGAAGCCCUAUUCAAAUGAAAGAUUUUAAAAAUAUGUACAAAUAAGGUGGAAGGUGUUAUUAAAACGAGUUUCUGCUUAUGAUUUUUUUUUAAAGAUUUUAUUUUUAAGUAAUCUCUACACCCAACGCUGGGCUGGAAUUUACGAACCCUGCAGAGAUCAAGAGUCACAUGCUCUACUA